UACGGGGGGGGGCAAGCGUUGUUCGGAAUUACUGGGCGUAAAGGGCUCGUAGGUGGCCAACUAAGUCAAACGUGAAAUCCCCUCGGCUUAACCGGGGAACUGCGUCUGAUACUGGAUGGCUUGAGUUUGGGAGAGGGAUGCGGAAUUCCAGGUGUAGCGGUGAAAUGCGUAGAUAUCUGGAGGAACACCGGUGGCGAAGGCGACAUCCUGGACCGGUAUUGACGCUGAGGCGCGAAAGCCAGGGGAGCAAAGCGGG
rnacentral:rRNA from 1 species